GGUGGUGUGGUGCACUGGUUAGUACUCCUGCCUGCGACGUAGAAGGUUCCGGGUUCAAUUCCCGGUUGGGAACCAUCA